GUCAGCAGCCGCGGUAACACCGGCGGCCCGAGUGGUGAUCGUGAUUAUUGGGUCUAAAGGGUCCGUAGCCGGUUUGGUCAGUCCUCCGGGAAAUCUGAUAGCUCAACUAUUAGGCUUUCGGGGGAUACUGCCAGACUUGGAACCGGGAGAGGUAAGAGGUACUACAGGGGUAGGAGUGAAAUCUUGUAAUCCCUGUGGGACCACCUGUGGCGAAGGCGUCCUACCAGAACGGGUUCGACGGUGAGGGACGAAAGCUGGGGGCACGAACCGGAUUAGAUACCCGGGUAGUCCCAGCCGUAAACGAUGCUCGCUAGGUGUCAGGCAUGGCGCGACCGUGUCUGGUGCCGCAGGGAAGCCGUGAAGCGAGCCACCUGGGAAGUACGGCCGCAAGGCUGAAACUUAAAGGAAUUGGCGGGGGAGCACAACAACGGGUGGAAGCCUGCGGUUUAAUUGGACUCAACGCCGGACAACUCACCGGGGGCGACAGCAAUAUGUAGGCCAAGCUGAAGACUUUGCCUGAAUCGCUGAGGGGUGGUGCAUGG
rnacentral:rRNA from 1 species